rnacentral:lncRNA from 13 species
AUUAUUGCUUGAUCAUAAAGUUGAUCUGCUAGCUAACACAGAGGACUGGUCUGUGAUUGGCUAUGCAGCUAUGUUGGAGGCUCAGACAGAGACCGCAGUGAAAGUAACUUAGGCCUAUGUGUCGCUAAUGUUGUAAGUCUGAUUAGACCAAGGGAGUUUUUUUAUAUUUAGCUAGUGUAUGUAGAAUAUAUAUUUUGUUGUAAUGAAUGCUGGUAUGUAAAUGGCUGGAUUGCUAAAUUAGUUACUAGUUUGCUUGAUAACAUUCCUUAGCCGCACACCCCGGCCGUAGCCACAGUCAACGGCGCCGUCUUGUUUCCAGUUGUUCUUGGGUGUAAUGCUAUAAACUACAGACUUUAGAUGCAUGGUUUCCAGUUUCUUACCAAUCAAACAAUUUAGAAUGACGUCAAUCAAGACACAACUUUAAAAGGACUAUGAUAUGCAUGACCUCAUCCCUGUCCAUUGGUACUUUUUUUCCCCAGACACUUCAAUCUGUCACAUGACCCGUUAUAUUCUGACAUGUCAGACUUGGCUCUGGAUGAAAAGAUUAAGGACUUGGUGGCUGGGAACGACAAACGUGGACCGGAGGCUGUUCGAUCACCAUUAAGGGCUCUGGGUGCAGAGUGAGGGACAGCAUGCUUCGUGUUAACCUGAGGGUGACUGCCCUCAGAGCCAUGUCGCAGAGGCUGCAUAGAAGGUCAUACCGUGUUGCUGGACCAAACUCGUAAUGGCACCUUAAUGGAAACCACAAACUGAUAAGUGUUGACGUCCAAACACUGCUGAAGUUAAUGAGAUGCCAACAGAAUUAACGUGAUGAGAGACAACGUUUAUGUGCAAUGAGAGGCUUUCAGAGAGCCUGCUUUAAUCCGGAGGCAAAAAUAGACACAUUUUUAGGGAUGCUGAUGGAAAAGGGGCAGCUGAUGAGGGUGGUCCCUCAAGAUUUUCCCCGGCUGCUAAUGAGUGCCAUCCAUUCCUCUGCCAUAUUUGAGGGGCCUGAUUGGGAAAAAUGCCUUUCUUGCAACUCUCAAACACGCUAUGAUGGCGUAUACAAGCAGGUGGGCCACAUGACUGCUGUCUGUCUGGUACAUGGGGGUGUCGAGCCACAUUUUGUCAGAGAGGCUCUACAGUGUGGCCUACAACCUCCUGUGCCAGAACUGAAAGAAAUUUUGGAAUAUGACUUCAGAGAGAAGUUGGAGAAGAUUCAAAGAGGGUCUGGAGUGUCUAGGUCUCCUGCCUUACAUGUAUAUACACUCAAGCCUCUUCAGAGAGGUUUUCAUCUAUGCUGAGAAACCUCUUUUGGCCAGACAUAGCUUCUCUUCAAAGCAGAGCUCUCCCCACCUGGUACCAAUCAAAGAGCAAUAGAGAGAAGAGUCAUAUGUUUCUGGAGGGACUGACUUCUGGAGGUGGAAGGUUAGAUGCAAAACCAUCAUCGAAGUAACACGGCCCACAUCAGUAAAACAUCACCACUUAAGAGGAUUGUGUUCUCCAACAAGUGUUACUUAUGGACUUGAAUGUCCCCCCCUUUCCUUUUUUCAGUGGGGAACACAUUCUCUUCAACCACGGAGAAGGUUUUCACUUCGGGGGCUUCAGCAUUCCGAGGCUGGGCUUGCCAGUGGAGUCACAGCUCUCUCUGCUACCUCACAGCAAGCAAUACCGGAGCGCCAAGUCUAGGUCCAAGAGGCUUCUAAACAGAUUCUACCCCCAAGCCAUAAGACUCCUGAACAUCUAAUCAAAUGGCUACCCAGACUAUUUGCUGCUACUCUAUCUAUGCAUGUCACUUUAAUAUCUCUACCUACAUGUAUAUAUUAACCCGACUAACCAGUACCCCCGCACAUUCUCUCUACCGGUAUCCCCUGUAUAUAGCUUCCACAUUCUCUACCGGUAUCCCCUGUAUAUAUUUUUUUACAUGUAUUUUUAUUUAUUUCACCUUUUAUUUAACCAGGUAGGCAAGUUGAGAACAAGUUCUCAUUUACACCUGCGACCUGGCCAAGAUAAAGCAAAGCAGUUUGACACAUACAACGACACAUGGAGUAAAACAAACAUACAGUCAAUAAUACAGUAGAAAAAUAAGUCUAUAUACAAUGUGAGCAAAUGAGGUGAGAUAAGGGAGGUAAAGGCAAAAGAAGGCCAUGGUGGCAAAGUAAAUACAAUAUAACAAGUAAAAUACUGGAAUGGUAGAUUUGCAGUGGAAGAAUGUGCAAAGUAGAAACAAACAUAAUGGGGUGCAAUGGAGCUAAAUAAAUACAGUAAGGGAAGAGGUAGUUGUUUGGGCUAAAUUAUAGAUGGGCUAUGUACAGGUGCAGUAAUCUGUGAGCUGCUCUGACAGCUGGUGCUUAAAGCUAGUGAGGGAGAUAAGUGUUUCCAGUUUCAGAGAUUUUUGUAGUUCAUUGGCAGCAGAGAACUGGAAGGAGAGGUGGCCAAAGGAAGAAUUGAUUUUGGGGGUGACCAGAGAUAUACCUGCUGGAGCGCGUGCUACAGGUUGGUGCUGCUAUGGUGACCAGCGAGCUGAGAUAAGGGGGGACUUUACCUAUCAGGGUCUUGUAGAUGACCUGGAGCCAGUGGGUUUGGCGACAAGUAUGAAGCAAGGGCCAGCUAACGAGAGCGUACAGGUCGCAGUGGUGGGUAGAAUAUAGGGCUUUGGUGACAAAACGGUUGGCACUGUGAUAGACUGCAUCCAGUUUAUUGAGUAGGGUAUUGGAGGCUAUUUUGUAAAUGACAUCGUCGAGGAUUGGUAGGAUGGUCAGUUUUACAAGUGUAUGUUUGGCAGCAUGAGUGAAGGAUGCUUUGUUGCGAAAUAGGAAGCCAAUUCUAGAUUUAACUUUGGUUUGGAGAUGUUUAUGUGAGUCUGGAAGGAGAGUUUACAGUCUAACCAGACACCUAGGUAUUUGUAGUUGUCCACAUAUUCUAAGUCAGAACCGUCCAGAGUAGUGAUGUUGGACAGGCGUGCAGGUGCAGACAGCGAUCGGUUGAAGAGCAUGCAUUUAGUUUUACUUGUAUUUAAGAGCAAUUGGAGGCCAUGGAAGGAGAGUUGUAUGGCAUUGAAGCUCGCCUAUAUAGCCUCCACAUUCUCUGUACCGGUACCCCAUGUAUAUAGCCUCCACAUUGACUCUGUACCAGUAGCCCCUGUAUAUAGCCACAUUGACUCUGUACUGGUACCCCCCUGUAUAUAGCCUCCACAUUGACUCUGUACUGGUACCCCCUGUAUAUAGCCUCCACAUUGACUCUGUACCGUAAUACCCUGUAUAUAGCCUCCACAUUGACUCUGUACCAGUAGCCCCUGUAUAUAGCCUCG